rnacentral:rRNA from 1 species
AGUAAGGAAUAUUGCGCAAUGGGCGAAAGCCUGACGCAGCGACGCCGCGUGGGGGAUGAAGGUCUUCGGAUUGUAAACCCCUUUCGGGAGGGAAGAUGGAGCGAGCAAUCGUUCGGACGGUACCUCCAGAAGCAGCCACGGCCAACUUCGUGCCAGCAGCCGCGGUAAUACGAAGGUGGCAAGCGUUGUUCGGAUUCACUGGGCGUACAGGGUGUGUAGGCGGUUUGGUAAGCCUUCUGUUAAAGCUUCGGGCCCAACCCGGAAAGCGCAGAGGGUACUGCCAGGCUAGAGGGUGGGGGA